rnacentral:rRNA from 1 species
GACGAACGCUGGCGGCGUGCUUAACACAUGCAAGUCGAACGGAAAGGCCCUGCUUUUGUGGGGUGCUCGCGUGGCGAACGGGUGAGUAACCCGUGAGUAACCUGCCCUUGGCUUUGGGAUAACUUCAGGAGACUGGGGCUAAUACCGGAUAGGAGCUCCUGCUGCAUGGUGGGGGUUGGACCGUUUCGGCGGAUGGGGAUGGACUCGCGGCUUAUCAGCUUGUUGGUGGGGUACUGGCUUACCAAGGCUUUGACGGGUAGCCGGCCUGAGAGGGUGACCGGCCACAUUGGGACUGAGAUACGGCCCAGACGCCUACGGGAGGCAGCAGUGGGGAAUAUUGCACAAUGGGCGGAAGCCUGAUGCAGCAACGCCGCGUGCGGGAUGACGGCCUUCGGGUUGUAAACCGCUUUCGCCUGUGACGAAGCGUGAGUGACGGUAAUGGGUAAAGAAGCACCGGCUAACUACGUG